UCGUACAUCACUAGCUCCACGCCCUUCAUCCUUCCUAUCCAAACUGACCGAAGCCCAGCACUUCUCAAAUAGUGCAUCACCAUACCCAUUUUGUCACAGCUCAUAAAACCCACAUAAAACUACAACACCUUCGAAGUCACCCUCACAAAGUUUAAAUCAUCUCCUUCGAUUUUCUAUUUAGUCAUAAUCUCAGUCCCGAGGGCCACAUAGAACUUCACUGUUCUCAGACCCACCUACGAUGCCCCACCUUUGAGUGCUCACUCCUCCAAGGUUUCCUCUGCUCCGCGCAACUCCUCCUCGUGUCUAUUAGGAAAAUGUCUUUUAAGCUUAUGGCUUUACGCAUAAAUUUAUUAAAGAAUAAGAGAUAAGCACAGGUGAAGCAGCUGAAAAGGGAAUUGGCUCAAUUGCUAGAGAUUGGCCAGGACCAAAUUGCGAGAAUUCGGGUUCUCCUAAGAUAUCCAAAGAACGCUUGUACUAGCUCCUGGCAUGGCACACAGCCAUACCAAAUCAUAUGUGCGAUCAAAGUGAAGGAAGUUUGAGAGAAGGAACAACGGGGGAUUUAGGCUUUGAGUUGUUUUUAGUUUCAAAUUGUGAGGUAGUCAUUUUAUUUAUGACUAUUAUGUCCAAAAUUUCGUUAGACUCUAAGUUCUUCUGGAAUUUGUUUAUGUUAUUUCCCCUUUGGGUUAUCAAUUACCCAUUUGAAUUUUUUAUGUUAUUUUGUUUUUAUAAUAUUUUAUUUUUUCAUAUA
rnacentral:misc_RNA from 1 species